rnacentral:rRNA from 1 species
GACAGAGGGUGCAAACGUUGCUCGGAAUCACUGGGCGUAAAGGGCGUGUAGGCGGGACAGUAAGUCGGGCGUGAAAUCCCUGGGCUCAACCCAGGAACUGCACUCGAAACUACUAUUCUUGAGUGUCGGAGAGGAAAGCGGAAUUCCUGGUGUAGAGGUGAAAUUCGUAGAUAUCAGGAGGAACACCAGUGGCGAAGGGCGGCUUUCUGGACGAUAACUGACGCUGAGA